rnacentral:rRNA from 1 species
CCUACGGGGGGCAGCAGUGAGGAAUAUUGGUCAAUGGGCGCGAGCCUGAACCAGCCAAGUCGCGUGAAGGAAGACGGUCCUAUGGAUUGUAAACUUCUUUUGUCGGGGAACAAAAUAAGCCACGCGUGGCGUUCCGAGGGUACCUGAAGAAAAAGCAUCGGCUAACUCCGUGCCAGCAGCCGCGGUAAUACGGAGGAUGCGAGCGUUAUCCGGAUUUAUUGGGUUUAAAGGGUGCGUAGGCGGGAGGUUAAGUCAGCGGUAAAAGUCAGGGGCUCAACCCCGUAGAGCCGUUGAAACUGGUUGUCUUGAGAGAUGGAGAGGUAUGCGGAAUGCGUGGUGUAGCGGUGAAAUGCUUAGAUAUCACGCAGAACUCCGAUUGCGAAGGCAGCAUACCGGCGGUCAACUGACGCUGAGGCACGAAAGUGUGGGUAUCGAACAGGAUUAGAUACCCUUGUAGUC